AAAAAAAAUCCAGAUUUAAUGUUAUCUUCUUUUUUUUUUUUGGUAAUCGAUUCAAUGUUAUCUUCUUCUUAACUUAAUGCUCUCUUCUUCUUUUUUGCAUGAUUCACAAUAAAGAUACCAAUGGAGUUUUCUCCUGAUUCAGAGCUUAGUUCUUCCAGAAAAAUGGGAAAUCAAAAUCAUUGUCAAGACCAAGGGGCAACAGAUUUAGAUGUGUAUACAGAGAUUCCAAACACCAGACCUUAACUCGAUUUGAAAUACUAACGUUUAUAAUGGUUAUAGAGAAAAAGAAAACCUGGACCAUAAUACCACUGAGGAACGUGAAAAUAGUUUUUGGUGCUGCGGUGGGAACUACCUAACAUGAUUAAGGUCAAUU